GCAAGUCGAGCGAAUCGAUGGGAGCUUGCUCCCUGAGAUUAGCGGCGGACGGGUGAGUAACACGUGGGCAACCUGCCUAUAAGACUGGGAUAACUUCGGGAAACCGGAGCUAAUACCGGAUACGUUCUUUUCUCGCAUGAGAGAAGAUGGAAAGACGGUUUACGCUGUCACUUAUAGAUGGGCCCGCGGCGCAUUAGCUAGUUGGUGAGGUAAUGGCUCACCAAGGCGACGAUGCGUAGCCGACCUGAGAGGGUGAUCGGCCACACUGGGACUGAGACACGGCCCAGACUCCUACGGGAGGCAGCAGUAGGGAAUCUUCCGCAAUGGACGAAAGUCUGACGGAGCAACGCCGCGUGAACGAAGAAGGCCUUCGGGUCGUAAAGUUCUGUUGUUAGGGAAGAACAAGUACCAGAGUAACUGCUGGUACCUUGACGGUACCUAACCAGAAAGCCACGGCUAACUACGUGCCAGCAGCCGCGGU
rnacentral:rRNA from 1 species